rnacentral:rRNA from 1 species
UCCAGGCCCUACGGGGCGCAGCAGGCGCGAAACCUCCGCAAUGCGGGCAACCGCGACGGGGGGACCCCCAGUGCCGUGGCACAGCCACGGCUUUUCCGGAGUGUAAAAAGCUCCGGGAAUAAGGGCUGGGCAAGGCCGGUGGCAGCCGCCGCGGUAAUACCGGCGGCCCAAGUGGUGGCCGCUAUUAUUGGGCCUAAAGCGUCCGUAGCCGGGCCCGUAAGUCCCUGGCGAAAUCCCACGGCUCAACCGUGGGGCUUGCUGGGGAUACUGCGGGCCUUGGGACCGGGAGAGGCCGGGGGUACCCCUGGGGUAGGGGUGAAAUCCUAUAAUCCCAGGGGGACCGCCAGUGGCGAAGGCGCCCGGCUGGAACGGGUCCGACGGUGAGGGACGAAGGCCAGGGGAGCGAACCGGAUUAGAUACCCGGGUAGUCCUGGCUGUAAAGGAUGCGGGCUAGGUGUCGGGCGAGCUUCGAGCUCGCCCGGUGCCGGAGGGAAGCCGUUAAGCCCGCCGCCUGGGGAGUACGGCCGCAAGGCUGAAACUUAAAGGAAUUGGCGGGGGAGCACUACAAGGGGUGGAGCGUGCGGUUUAAUUGGAUUCAACGCCGGGAACCUCACCGGGGGCGACGGCAGGAUGAAGGCCAGGCUGAAGGUCUUGCCGGACGCGCCGAGAGGAGGUGCAUGGCCGCCGUCAGCUCGUACCGUGAGGCGUCCACUUAAGUGUGGUAACGAGCGAGACCCGCGCCCCCAGUUGCCAGUCCUCCCCGCUGGGGAGGAGGCACUCUGGGGGGACCGCCGGCGAUAAGCCGGAGGAAGGAGCGGGCGACGGUAGGUCAGUAUGCCCCGAAACCCCCGGGCUACACGCGCGCUACAAUGGGCGGGACAAUGGGAACCGACCCCGAAAGGGGAAGGGAAUCCCCUAAACCCGCCCUCAGUUCGGAUCGCGGGCUGCAACUCGCCCGCGUGAAGCUGGAAUCCCUAGUACCCGCGUGUCAUCAUCGCGCGGCGAAUACGUCCCUGCUCCUUGCACUCACCGCCCGUC